UACGAAGGGGGCUAGCGUUGCUCGGAAUCACUGGGCGUAAAGCGCACGUAGGCGGCUUUCUAAGUCAGGGGUGAAAUCCUGGAGCUCAACUCCAGAACUGCCUUUGAUACUGGAGAGCUUGAGUCCGGAAGAGGUGAGUGGAACUCCGAGUGUAGAGGUGAAAUUCGUAGAUAUUCGGAAGAACACCAGCGGCGAAGGCGGCUCACUGGUCCGGUACUGACGCUGAUGUGCGAAAGCGUGGGGAGCAAACAGG
rnacentral:rRNA from 1 species